rnacentral:rRNA from 1 species
GAGGUGUCUGGUUAAGUCCAGGAACGAGCGAGACCCUCACCCCUAGUUGCCACCGCGCAAGCGGGCACACUAGGGGGACCGCCACCGCUAAGGUGGAGGAGGGAGGGGGCAACGGCAGGUCAGCAUGCCCCGAAUCCCCCGGGCCGCACGCGGGCUGCAAUGGUGGAGACAAUGGGUUCCGAACCCGAAAGGGGGAGGUAAUCCUUGAAACUCCACCGUAGUUGGGAUCGAGGGCUGCAACCCGCCCUCGUGAACCUGGAAUCCCCAGUAAUCGCGUGUCAUCAUCGCGCGGUGAACACGUCCCCGCUCCUUGU